GCUUAUAAGCUAGCCGCACUAUAAAAAACAACUAUCUUUCCACAGAUAUAGAUACCCCUUAAGACAGUCAAAUAAGUUUAAAUAAAACAUUCUUCCCCCUUAGUAUGGGCGACAGAAAAGGAGCUCGUCGCGCUAUAGAUAAAGUACCGCAAGGGAACGCUGAAAGAGAAGUGAAAUAAGCCAGUUAAGUUUUAAAAAGCAGAGAUUCAAGCUCGUACCUUUUGCAUAAUGGUUUAGCCAGAAAUUUUCAAGCAAAGAGCACUUUAGUUUGACACCCCGAAACUAGGUGAGCUACUCCAAGACAGCCUAAUGUAGGGCGAACCCGUCUCUGUGGCAAAAGAGUGGGAUGAGCUUCGAGUAGCGGUGACAGGCCUAUCGAACCUAGUUAUAGCUGGUUGCCUGAGAAAUGAAUAGUAGUUCAGCCUUUCGAAUUCUUUCCUCGUAUCAUAUUUAAUUUUAGAUAACAGGAGAAGUUGAGGGAGUUAGUUAAAGGGGGUACAGCCCUUUUAACAGAAGAUACAACUUUUUUAGGGGGAUAAAGAUCAUAUAUUUAGUAUUGAGGUAAAAUGUUUUGGUGGGCCUGAAAGCAGCCAUCCUCGUCGAGUGGGUUAUACCUCAUAUAGAUGUUCUACCUUGAAUUCUGAUAAAUCAGGUCUAAAUCCCCUAACACUUAUCAGGCCGCCCCAUGCAGUCAUGGGGGUGACCAUGCUAAUAUGAGUAAUAAGAGGGUGCGUGAGCGUCCCUCUCCCCGCACAAGUGUAACUCGGAUCGGACCACCCACCGAAUCUUAACGGCCCCCAUCAAGGAGGGUUUUGAGCAAUAAACUCGCCAACUAGAAAUCUGCUCAAGUAUUAUACCGUUAAACCUACACAGGCGUGCUUCUGAGGAAAGACUAAUCGAAAAAGAAGGAACUCGGCAAACGUAUUUAAGCCUCGCCUGUUUCCCAAAAACAUCGCCUCCUGUUGUUUAAAAAUAGGAGGUCCAGCCUGCCCAAGGACCAUGUGUUUAACGGCUGCGGUAUUUUAACCGUGCGAAGGUAGCGUGAUCACUCGUCUUUUAAAUAGAGACCCGUAUGAAUGGUAAAACGAGGGCUUAGCUGUCUCCUUUUUCAUGUCAAUGAAAUUGAUCUUCCCGUGCAAAAGCGGGAAUUAUCUCAUAAGACGAGAAGACCCUGUGAAGCUUUAGACAAUAAGAUAGAUCUGGUUAAUAAACCCUAGUAAAGGAUUAAGCUUCUAACUCCUGUCUUAGCGUCUUCGGUUGGGGCGACCACGGGGAGUCACAUAACCCCCGCGUGGACUGGGUGCAAGAGUGUUUUUGUUCCUAAAGCUAAGAGCCUCCGUUCUAAUAAACAGAAUUUCUGACCUUAUAAGAUCCGGCAAUGCCGAUCAACGAACCAAGUUACUCCAGGGAUAACAGCGCCAUCCUCUUUCAGAGCCCUUAUCGACAAGGGGGUUUACGACCUCGAUGUUGGAUCAGGACAUCCUAAUGGUGCAGCCGCUAUUAAGGGUUCGUUUGUUCAACGAUUAACAGUCCUACGUGAUCUGAGUUCAGACCGGAGCAAUCCAGGUCAGUUUCUAUCUAUGACUUAAUUUUUUCUAGUACGAAAGGACCGAAAGGAAAAGGCCCAUGCUCUCAGUACGCCUUCCUCUAACCUAUUGCGAACAACUAAAAUAGAUAAAAGAAAAUGCUUAUAUUAGGUAUUAUAUUGCCCAAGAAUUCAGGGCC
rnacentral:rRNA from 1 species